rnacentral:rRNA from 1 species
ACGGCGAGUGAAGCGGCAACAGCUCAAAUUUGAAAUCUGGCUCCUUUUGGGGUCCGAGUUGUAAUUUGUAGAGGAUGCUUUGGGCACGACCACGGUCUAAGUUCUCUGGAACGAGACGUCAUAGAGGGUGAGAAUCCCGUAUGGGACCGCCGGUCACGCCCGUGUAAAGCUCCUUCGACGAGUCGAGUUGUUUGGGAAUGCAGCUCAAAAUGGGUGGUAUAUUUCAUCUAAAGCUAAAUAUUGGCCAGAGACCGAUAGCGCACAAGUAGAGUGAUCGAAAGAUGAAAAGCACUUUGAAAAGAGAGUUAAACAGCAUGUGAAAUUGUUGAAAGGGAAGCGUUGGCAACCAGACUCACCCGUGGCGGCUCACCUGGCGUUCUCGCCAGGGCACUCCACCACGGUUGGGCCAGCAUCGGUUUGGGCGGUCGGUCAAAGGCCUCUGGAAUGUAUCAUCCCCCGGGAUGCCUUAUAGCCAGAGGUGCAAUGCGGCCUGCCUGGAUCGAGGAACGCGCUUCGGCACGGAUGCUGGCGUAAUGGUUGUCAACGACCCGUCUUGAAACACGGACCAAGGAGUCGACCAACUAUGCGAGUGUUUGGGUGUCAAACCCCGGCGCGCAAUGAAAGUGAACGGAGGUGGGAACCCCUCGGGGCGCACCAUCGACCGAUCCUGAUGUCUUCGGAUGGAUUUGAGUAAGAGCAUAGCUGGUCGGACCCGAAAGAUGGUGAACUAUGCCUGAAUAGGGUGAAGCCAGAGGAAACUCUGGUGGAGGCUCGCAGCGGUUCUGACGUGCAAAUCGAUCGUC